rnacentral:rRNA from 1 species
CGCAUCUGUGCAUGCAGCAUAUCAAUAAGCGGAGGAAAAGAAACUAACAAGGAUUCCCCUAGUAACGGCGAGUGAAGCGGGAAGAGCUCAAAUUUGAAAUCUUAAAGGGUUUCCCUUUACGAAUUGUAGUUUAAAGAGGUGUUUUCUGUUGAGGUUUUGGUAAAAGUUCUUUGGAAUAGGACAUCAUAGAGGGUGAGAAUCCCGUAUUUGACCUUUACUUUCAACUUUGUGAUACACUUUCAAAGAGUCGGAUUGUUUGGGAAUGCAGUCCAAAAUGGGUGGUAAAUUUCAUCUAAAGCUAAAUAUUGGCGAGAGACCGAUAGCGAACAAGUACCGUGAGGGAAAGAUGAAAAGAACUUUGAAAAGAGAGUUAAACAGUACGUGAAAUUGUCAAAAGGGAAGCGUUUGACACCAGUGUUGUUUUUCUGAAAAUCAAUUAAAGAACUGUUUAUGCUAAGUUGUUUAGACUUUAUCAGCUAACUGUUUAGUUUUGAGCUUUUCUUUAAUGCACUUUUCAGUUAACAAGUCAACAUCAAUUUCUUUUGCUGUAAAAAAGCUUGAGGAAGGUGGCUUGAGAUUCGUCUUAAGUGUUUAUAGCCUCUUGCCUAUGCAGUCGGAGAGAUUGAGGUCUGCAGCGUAGAUCCUUCGGGGCUAAAUGCAUUUGUGCUAAGUUAUAGCAUUUCAUAGACAACUUGUUGACUAUGAUUUGUCUCGUAGCUUACUCGCUUAUGUUAUUUUACCUACGCUUAGGAUGUUGACAGCAGUAUAGACUGU